rnacentral:lncRNA from 1 species
UUUGACAACUGACCCGCACUUUGGUGCAUCUUUACCGGUAUGUAGGAGAUCCAUAUGUUAAACAUGCAUCGGUGUCCAGUAUAUUUGAUAAUGAACUAACCUCACAUACUUUCUGGUUGUUAUACAUUAUAGGUGUGAGAAAAACCAUGAACAUGACCUACCUGAACCAUAAACCAUUAGCCAACUAUGCUUUGAAGAAAAUUCCCAAG